rnacentral:rRNA from 1 species
UACUUUCCUUCGGGAGAGUUUGAAAAGCUCUUGUGAUUUUAAUCAAGUCCAGGAUGUGAAUCCAAUUUGAAUAAGUUGUAAAACAACUACAAACGGUGGAUCUCUUGGCUCUCGUAUCGAUGAAGAACGCAGCGAAACGCGAAAUGUAAUGUGAAUUGCAGAAUUCAGUGAAUCAUCGAAUCUUUGAACGCAUCUUGCACUCUCGAAUCACUAUCGAGAGUAUGCCUGUUUGAGUGUCGCGAAACUCUCAACCCCGCCUCAUGCUUUAUUGCGUGUGGGUAGCUUGGGCUUGGAUCAUGAUCUUUGCAGUAAUGCGCUAGCAGAACUGCUGGAUUGAAAUACAACAAGCUGAAUCUAUAUACUUGCGGCUUGACCUGUCGUUGUAAGCACACAAAUGCAUUCGAUGGGGACGCGAGAAAAUGGAAUGAGCUUUCCAAAUGUGUUACACUUUGCAGCUUCUAUUAACUUAGAGCUCUUAGUGCAUUCUGAC